UCUCAACUAGGACAAAGUCCAGCACAUAGUAAUCGCUAUGUGUUUACUAUGAUGAUUUUUAUCAUCUUCGUCUAACAGCAACAACAACAAAAAGGCCAGAGGCAUCUGUGCAAAGCUCGAUAAUGCUAAUGGAUUAUGUUUAUUAAGCACUCACUGUGUAUUUGGUUUUGCGUUUUAUUAUACCUACGUUCUUUCAUUUGUUAUCAAGGUCUCUAUGAAGUCAGAGCUAUUACUAUCAGCAUUUUACCCAUGAAGAAACCGAGGUUUAGAGAGAUUCUUUUCCAGGAACUGGAUAGCCAGCAAGAUGUGAAGCAGAGUAAUCUGUCUCCUGAGUCUAUGCUCUUCAGUGCCACCACUGUUUCCCCAAAUGAAGAAACUAAGACUCAGAGAAGACAAAUGACGUGCCCAAAGACACAUUGAUAAGAACGCAUCUGGUAGUGGUGUUCGAGUCCAGCGUUGCAGCAGAGAGAUGGAAUAAGGACAACGAGAGCCAGCAAGCAGGGAAGUGGAGCAAGGAUGGUGCCGUCUGGCUGCUCAGCUGCUGGCUGGAACUCCCGGA
rnacentral:lncRNA from 1 species